rnacentral:rRNA from 1 species
GACGGGGGAUGCAAGUGUUAUCCGGAAUCACUGGGCGUAAAGCGUCUGUAGGUGGUCAAAUAAGUCAACUGUUAAAUCUUGAGGCUCAACCUCAAAAUCGCAGUCGAAACUAUUCGACUAGAGUAUAGUAGGGGUAAAGGGAAUUCCCGGUGUAGCGGUGAAAUGCGUAGAGAUCGGGAAGAACACCGGUGGCGAAAGCGCUCUACUGGACCGUAACUGACACUCAGGGACGAAAGCUAGGGGAGCGAAUGGG